rnacentral:tRNA from 1 species
UGCAGUGUGGAGUAGUGGUUAACUCAUCGGGCUCAUGACCCGGAAUCGUCAGUUCAAAUCUGACCGUUGCA